UACGUAGGGCGCAAGCGUUGUCCGGAAUGAUUGGGCGUAAAGAGCUCGUAGGCGGUCUGUCGCGUCGGAUGUGAAAGCCCGGGGCUUAACUCCGGGUCUGCAUUCGAUACGGGCAGACUAGAGUGUGGUAGGGGAGAUCGGAAUUCCUGGUGUAGCGGUGAAAUGCGCAGAUAUCAGGAGGAACACCGGUGGCGAAGGCGGAUCUCUGGGCCAUUACUGACGCUGAGGAGCGAAAGCGUGGGGAGCGAACAGG
rnacentral:rRNA from 1 species